rnacentral:siRNA from 1 species
UGAAAGCGUGGCCUAUCGAUC